rnacentral:tRNA from 1 species
UCCGGCUUUUAACCGGACGGUCGCGGGUUCGAACCCCGUCGGGCCCG